UUGACAGCUAUCACCUACCACUCAUAGAUAUCUCUUUCCUCUCACCUGCACGCCACCUAUGCCACUCUCCUCACACUGCACGUUUCCGCUUCCCACACGCCACCUAUCACCUCACUCACUUUAACUCUUUCUCAGUCUCACCUCAUUCAUAUAACCCACUCACUAUUCAGUAGCUCACUGAUAGACUCUCAACGAAAAGAAAAGAAAAGGAUAUUCUUCUCUCUCAUUGGCUAAAAAAACCCAACAGACACAAGAAAAGGGUUCUUUCUGAACGUCUUCUUCUUUCUCCUUCCGCCGGCACACAACCGCACCACAAUAUUCGCUUCACUCCCUCAGUUUGAUUCAACUCGCCGUCUUGCCUUCACCAUCAUAAAAAAGCCCAUCACUCUGAACAUUCAGCAACGCCGGCGACGACCUUCUUCCAGUCGCCGGAAACUCCCACGGAAACCGCUCCCGCCGUGAAUCCAUGACUCGUCACUUCUCAACCUAUCUUCAAGCUCUCACACCUCCACAAACUUCCUCUUCACUGCCGCACAAAUUAACACCGAAAAGGCAAUGCCGCCGUCUUCAUUAUCCGUCACUCCGCUCUCAGCUUAAACCAUCGCCGCGAUAACAUCCAGCUUCACAAAUCGAUAACCCUCUUUUCUAAACUUUUUUCCAUUUGAAAGAACAAAUCUACUAGAAUCUACGAUGGAAGAGCACUGACGUAAAACUCCAAAAGGCCACAGACUCUGCGUUAACAACUGCCGUUCCUGCGAGAGUUCAACCAUAGUGAAUUUUUGUUCAAAAAUUUACUAAAACAGUCAUUUGAAGGAGAAAUAACAAGUCAAAAUGAGAUCUACAACUCGAAGAAAUAUUUUAUUGAUGAUACAUGUGUUAAGGAUAUGCGUUAGUGUUUCCAGCUCAAAUGUAUGAAGCACACCUUUCAACUAAAUAUUUGUAGAUGAAUAUCAUGUUCUGGAAAAUUACCCCACCAACCGAAGCUUAUUCUUCAUAUGUCUACAAGAUUAAUAAUAUUGAUUAGUUAUGAAAUUAAUAUUUCUAGCUGGGAUGUUAAUUUUAGGUUUUUAGUGGUAUCAUGAUUAAUUAGUAGUACGGUAGGGAUGUGAGCCAUUUCUCACAAUUGUGUAGAUUUAUAAUUAAUGGGAAGUCCAUUUUUUUUUCUUUUCCUUUUUUGAUUUGUUAGUGGGAAAAUCAUGUAUUAUUCCUCCUAAGGUGAUGUCAAUUCCAAAUUUAAAAUCAAAUGUGUUUUUGAAUCCCGGCUAGUUGCAAA